GAGCGCGCAGGGGUGCUUGGGGAGGACGGGAAAGCUUUCUCCGUCUCUUCCUCCCCAAGCGCCCCUGCGCGCUC